rnacentral:rRNA from 1 species
UACAGAGGUCUCAAGCGUUGUUCGGAUUCAUUGGGCGUAAAGGGUGUGUAGGUGGCGCGCUAAGUCGGGUGUGAAAUUUCGGGAGCUUAACUCCGAAACUGCAUUCGAUACUGGCGUGCUUGAGGACUGGAGAGGAGACUGGAAUUCAUGGUGUAGCAGUGAAAUGCGUAGAGAUCAUGAGGAAGACCAGUGGCGAAGGCGGGUCUCUGGACAGUUCCUGACACUGAGACACGAAGGCCAGGGGAGCAAACAGG